UACGUAGGUGACAAGCGUUGUCCGGAUUUACUGGGCGUAAAGAGCGCGCAGGCGGUCGAUCAAGUCGAGUGUGAAAGCCCCCGGCUCAACUGGGGAGGGUCAUUCGAUACUGAUCGACUCGAAGGCAGGAGAGGGUAGUGGAAUUCCCGGUGUAGUGGUGAAAUGCGUAGAGAUCCGGAGGAACACCAGUGGCGAAGGCGACACGCUGGGUCAUACCUGACACUAAAACGCGACAGCAUGGGGAGCGAACGGG
rnacentral:rRNA from 1 species